UGGCCAUUACGGCAGUUGAGAUUUCUAAUGGACUGACAAAGUGAUAUUUUAGGAAAUGACAGGCCAUUUGCCUCUGCUACCUCUGCUGGUUCUCAUUUCCUUUCCAGGGAAUCUAUGAAAUGAAAGUGAACCAUCACAUCACAUGAAAGUGAACCAUCCAUGCUGCAAAGUACCAG